AUUGAACGCUGGCGGCGUGCCUAACACAUGCAAGUCGAGCGGUAACAGGUGUAGCAAUACAUGCUGACGAGCGGCGGACGGGUGAGUAACGCUUGGGAAUCUGCCUAUUAGUGGGGGACAACCCGGGGAAACUCGGGCUAAUACCGCAUACGCUCUACGGAGGAAAGCCGGGGACCGCAAGGCCUGGCGCUAAUAGAUGAGCCCAAGUCGGAUUAGCUAGUUGGUAGGGUAANGGCCUACCAAGGCGACGAUCCGUAACUGGUCUGAGAGGACGACCAGUCACACCGGAACUGAGACACGGUCCGGACUCCUACGGGAGGCAGCAGUGGGGAAUAUUGGACAAUGGGCGAAAGCCUGAUCCAGCGACG
rnacentral:rRNA from 1 species